rnacentral:rRNA from 1 species
GACGAACGCUGGCGGCGUGCUUAACACAUGCAAGUCGAACGAUGAUGCCCAGCUUGCUGGGCGGAUUAGUGGCGAACGGGUGAGUAACACGUGAGUAACCUGCCCUUGACUUCGGGAUAACUCCGGGAAACCGGGGCUAAUACCGGAUAUGAGCCGUCCUCGCAUGGGGGUGGUUGGAAAGUUUUUCGGUCAGGGAUGGGCUCGCGGCCUAUCAGCUUGUUGGUGGGGUGAUGGCCUACCAAGGCGACGACGGGUAGCCGGCCUGAGAGGGCGACCGGCCACACUGGGACUGAGACACGGCCCAGACUCCUACGGGAGGCAGCAGUGGGGAAUAUUGCACAAUGGGCGAAAGCCUGAUGCAGCGACGCCGCGUGAGGGAUGAAGGCCUUCGGGUUGUAAACCUCUUUCAGCAGGGAAGAAGCGCAAGUGACGGUACCUGCAGAAGAAGCGCCGGCUAACUACGUGCCAGCAGCCGCGGUAAUACGUAGGGCGCAAGCGUUGUCCGGAAUUAUUGGGCGUAAAGAGCUCGUAGGCGGUUUGUCGCGUCUGGUGUGGAAACUCGAGGCUCAACCUCGAGCUUGCAUCGGGUACGGGCAGACUAGAGUGCGGUAGGGGAGACUGGAAUUCCUGGUGUAGCGGUGGAAUGCGCAGAUAUCAGGAGGAACACCGAUGGCGAAGGCAGGUCUCUGGGCCGCAACUGACGCUGAGGAGCGAAAGCAUGGGGAGCGAACAGG